rnacentral:rRNA from 1 species
UAAAGCAAAUAAGCGCAUAUGGUGGAUGCCUAGGCAGUCAGAGGCGAAGAAAGACGUGACAGCCUGCGAUAAGCGUCGGGAAGGUGGCAAGUAACUUAUGAUCCGGCGAUGUCUGAAUAGGGGAACCUACUGAAAGUAAUCAGUAUCUGUAAAUGAAUAUAUAAAUUACAGAAGCUAACCAAGGGAACUGAAACAUCUAAGUACCUUGAGGAAAAGAAAUCAAAAGAGAUUCCCUAAGUAGUGGCGAGCGAAAAGGGAAAAGCCCAUAAAGCAAUAAUAUAAGUUAAUAAAAACAGAUGGAAAGCUGUACCAUAGUAGGUGAUAGUCCUGUAAGUUAAAACUAAGUAUUUGUGAAUUAGAUUAGGUCGGGGCACGAGAAACCUUGACUGAAAAAGGGGGGACCAUCCUCCAAGGCUAAAUACUAAUGACUGACCGAUAGUGAACUAGUACCGUGAGGGAAAGGUGAAAAGAACCCUAGCACAGGGAGUGAAAUAGAUCCUGAAACCAUAUGCGUACAAGCAGUGGAAGCCUAAUAUAAUUAGGUAACUGCGUACCUUUUGUAUAAUGGGUCAGCGACUUAGUUUAUCUAGCAAGCUUAAGCCGUUAGGUGUAGGCGUAGCGAAAGCGAGUCUGAAUAGGGCGACUAUAGUUAGAUGAAUUAGACCCGAAACCGAGUGAUCUAGCCAUGGCCAGGUUGAAAGCGGAGUAAAAUCCGCUGAAGGACCGAACCCACUACUGUUGAAAAAGUAGGGGAUGAGCUGUGGUUAGGGGUGAAAGGCCAAUCAAACUCGGAUAUAGCUGGUUCUCCGCGAAAUCUAUUUAGGUAGAGCGUUAUAGCGGUUACCAUCGGAGGUAGAGCACUGAAUGAGCUAGGGGGUCCCACAGACUUACCAAACUCAAUCAAACUCCGAAUGCCGAUGAGUAUAGCAUAGCAGACAGACUAUGGGUGCUAAGGUCCAUAGUCGAGAGGGAAAAAGCCCAGACCGCCAUCUAAGGUCCCUAAAUCAUGACUAAGUGUUAAAGGAUGUGAGAAGACCAAAACAACUAGGAUGUUGGCUUAGAAGCAGCCAUCAUUUAAAGAAAGCGUAAUAGCUCACUAGUCUAAAUAAGUUUUCUUGCGCCAACAAUGUAACGGGGCUCAAGUCAUGUACCGAAGAUGCGGAUUCACACAUUUGGUGUGAGUGGUAGCGGAGCGUUCCGUAAGCCUGUGAAGGUGAACCGUAAGGUUUGCUGGAGGUAUCGGAAGUGAGAAUGCUGACAUAAGUAGCGAUAAAGAAUGCGAGAAACAUUCUCGCCGAAAGUCCAAGGGUUCUUGCGUAAAGUUAAUCUGCGCAAGGUUAGUCGGCCCCUAAGGUGAGGCUGAAAGGCGUAAUCGAUGGGAAUCAGGUUAAUAUUCCUGAACCUGAAGGAUGUGACGAAAGUAGUAAGUUGUACAGUCUUAUUGGAUUGAUUGUGCAGCGAAUAUUUUCCAGGAAAUAACACCUUCAUUAUAGACCGUACCCGAAACCGACACAGGUGGACAGGUAGAGUAUACCAAGGCGCUUGAGAGAACGAUGCUGAAGGAACUAGGCAAAUUGCAUCUGUAACUUCGGAAGAAAGAUGACCUACAUAUGGGCAACCAUUUGUGGGUGGCACAAGCUAGGGGGUAGCGACUGUUUAUUAAAAACACAGGGCUCUGCAAAGUCAAUAGAUGAAGUAUAGGGUCUGACGCCUGCCCAGUGCUGGAAGAUUAAGAGGAGGGGUGCAAGCUCUGAAUUGAAGUCCCAGUGAACGGCGGCCGUAACUAUGACGGUCCUAAGGUAGCGAAAUUCCUUGUCGGGUAAGUUCCGACCUGCACGAAUGGCGUAAUGAUGGC